CCUUGCGUUGCCUCUCCUCCAUGCCCUUCAAGCGCUCAUGAACGGCCCGCAUAUCAUGGAGAUGCGCCCUUUGCAGUUUGGCAAAUUUGGCCUUCAAUGUUUUCAUUCCUUCCUGUCCGGGACUGG